rnacentral:lncRNA from 1 species
CUGGCCAACAGGGCAUGGGGACAUCAUAUCAGGCCACGGCCCGCUUGUCUCAACCACCGCAGCCUUUGCUGCAGCCAUCUCCAUGGUGGUGGCCAUGGCGGUGUACACCAGCGAGCGGUGGGACCAGCCUCCACACCCCCAGAUCCAGACCUUCUUCUCCUGGUCCUUCUACCUGGGCUGGGUCUCAGCUAUCCUCUUGCUCUGUACAGGUGCCCUGAGCCUGGGUGCUCACUGUGGCGGUCCCCGUCCUGGCUAUGAAACCUUGUGAGCAGAAGGCAAGAGCGGCAAGAUGAGUUUUGAGCGUUGUAUUCCAAAGGCCUCAUCUGGAGCCUCGGGAAAGUCUGGUC